AUGACAUUUUAAUUUUUAUUAAUUUUCAUGAAGAUGUGUGCUUGGUCCAUUAUUUAUAGUUUUUCCUCUCGACAUUUAAAUCUCAACAAAUUUUUCUGAAGAAUCCCGCCAAAGCAUCCGUAAGUAGAAUUUAUUUGCGUUUUCACAAGGAAAAUAAACAAACAAAAUGCAAAUAAAAAUCAAGAAAAAUUACCGUAAUGAAUCCAUGUAAAUAUAUGAACAUAUCCAAUGAAUAAGCCCCGAAAGACAAUUGCAUGACAAACUUUAUGGUUUGUGGCACUUGGGUCCGCCUAUUUUCGCCUGAAGACAUUUAACCAUUUCCCACUUUUCUCUCCCGUUUCCUCACUCUAUGACAGCAGCUGGAAAA